UCACUGUCGACUCCACUCCGUUAGCCGGGGACGCCCAAACACUGCAGAGCCUCCCAAACACUGAGCCACCUCUGGCAAUGUGUACAUCAAUCUCACUAUCAACUUGAACAUCCCUGGAAAGUACACUACCAAGGUCACUAAUUCGCAGAAGAGGGAUGAGAAAUGAACUACCAGUGCCUUUGGAAGACAGUGUCACCGAUUCCACAGGCUGCUUACAUCCCCUUAGUUCAGAGAUAAGACGAAAGAAGAAGAGAAUGGGGAACAACAUGGAAAUUAUGAAAUGAGGAGAAGAGAGGAGGGCACUCCCUCUGGGUGGCCACAA